AGUUUGAUCCUGGCUCAGAUUGAACGCUUGCGAUAUGCCUAACACAUGCAAGUUGAACGGCAGCGGAUAAAAGAAGUUGCUUCUUUGCCGGCGAGUGGCGAACGGGUGAGUAAUACAUUGGAACAUGGCCUAAAGUGGGGGAGAAAUAACUACUGGAAACGGUAGCUAAUACCGCAUAAUGUCGUUAGACAAAAGUGGGGAACCUUCGGGACCUCACGCUUCAGGAGUGGUCAAUGUCUGAUUAGCUAGUUGGUGGUGUAAAUGACUACCAAGGCAACGAUCAGUAGCUGGUCUGAGAGGAUGGUCAGCCACACUGGAACUGAGACACGGUCCAGACUUCUACGGAAGGCAGCAGUGGGGAAUCUUGGACAAUGGGGGCAACCCUGAUCCAGCAAUAUCGCGUGUGUGAUGAAGGCCUCCGGGUUGUAAAGCACUUUUGUUCGGGNAGAAAGACUACCUAACCAACAAUUAAGUAGCAUGACGGUACCGAAAGAAUAAGCACCGGCUAACUACGUGCCAGCAGCCGCGGUAAUACGUAGGGUGCGAGUGUUAAUCGGAAUCACUGGGCGUAAAGAGUACGUAGGUUGUUUGUUAAGACUGCUGGUGAAAUCCCUAGACUCAAUCUAGGAACUGCUGUGGUGACUAACAAACUCGAGUAUGGAAGAGGGGGAUAGAAUUCCAGGAGUAGCGGUGAAAUGCGUAGAUAUCUGGAGGAAUACCAAAGGCGAAGGCAGUCCCCUGGUCCGAUACUGACACUGAGGUACGAAAGCGUGGGGAGCAAACAGGAUUAGAUACCCUGGUAGUCCACGCCCUAAACGAUGUCGAUUAGCCAUUGGAAGGACCCCUUUUCCUUUCAGUGACGUAGCUAACGCGUUAAAUCGACCGCCUGGGAAGUACGACCGCAAGGUUAAAAACUCAAAGGAAUUGACGGGGACCUGAACAAGCGGUGAAUGAUGUGGAUUAAUUCGAUGCUACGCGAAGAACCUUACCUACCUUUGACAUGGCCAAAGUUCUACCGAGAGGCGGAAGUACUCGUAAGAGGAUUGGCGCACAGGUGCUGCAUGGUUGUCGUCAGUUCGUGUCGUGAGAUGUUGG
rnacentral:rRNA from 1 species